GUUCCCUCCUAAACCUCAGGGUUAAUUUUCCUGUCUGACCUGCUUUGGUUUCCCGAUGAAACUACUAAAAUAACACUUUGACAAUGGAAAUCUUCCCUGUGCAUGAAUUUAAAAAGAACAAAGCAUGAAUUAGCAUUUGUAUUACAGAGGUGCUCGAGAGAAUGGAGCCAAAGUCACAAGACAAAAGCUCUUUGUGUGGUUAGGUAGUCACCUUGCUGAUCCGUAAUGACACUCGUGAUGCUGACAAUAAAAACCCAACAAAAGGGGAAAGUGGCUCUAUGUUCAGUUUCUGACUUUGUACUCGAGAGACCUAAGUGUUUCACUCCAUCUCUUUACCCUUAGGCAAGGAACAACAGCCUUACAGCCCAGCCGGAUGGGAAAAGCCAAAUAGAUAAGGCCAUGAAGUCUCAUGAGUAGAUAAGUAUUGAUGCCCUUUGCAAAAAAUCACAUAGGUCUGAACCCUCAGAUGAAGCAUUUUGUAUGUUGUUUUUAAACACUGCUGGCAUCUCCAGAAAAGCUGUUCAACUAUGGCUGUGCUGUACUCUUUAACUGGAUGUCUGGCCCCCAUUUUGAGCCAGUCUGAGCAGGCAGAUAGGUUGUGAACGCUUCACUUUGGGAAGAAACUCUUGGUGGGAACACUGAAAUAGUCUGGCGAUCACUGAGGAUGAAUGUGGUGUGCAAACACCAUAGCUGCUGUGGCCAGCCUCUCUGGGAGAGUUAAGAGUAUGUUCCUGCUGUUCAAACUGCUAAACCAAGAAGCUGCAAAUGAGAUUACAUGCUGACCAGGUCAUGCUGGAACAAGUACAACAGGAGAACCAGUGCCUGAAUCAGCAAGUUGCCCAUCUGACAGCUGCAUUUAUGGCACUGCAGAAAAUGGGAGCAGCUUCCUGGUGAGCAUUUGUUAACAUUGAAGCAUGAGUGUUGGUGAAUAACUGCAAAGAGGACUUCUCAGAGUG
rnacentral:lncRNA from 1 species